CCAAGCAGGCUACUGAGUUGGUCUGAUGGCAAAGCAAGCUAUUGGAUAAACUUAUGCAAGUCAUUUUCUUUUGAAUUUGAACAUAUGCAACUAUAGGUUGUGCAACCAGGAAUGCAAAGUUACAAAACUACUAUGAAUUUUCAUUUUGGCUGCGGGGUGGGGAGAAUUACUUACGAGUUUUUACACAACCAUACUUGACUUUUAAUAUAAAUUGAAUUGCGGACCAAUAUAUUCAAACAUGGACAGAAGGACUUAAAAGACAAAUUCUAAGAGCUCUCAGGCAAGCUUCAUAGACAUGCAGACAGAAAGGCAAGUUUAUCAGGAUCAUUCAUGCACUCACUGAUGUUUUUAAAACUGAACAAAAAACACCAUGCAUCAAUUUGGUGCAGGAUGGGAGCACCGAAUUUUCAUUUUUACACUGUGGACUUGGGAUACCUGAGGGCUGAUAAACAGAAAUUUACAACUUUGGAAGUUUUGGGUUUAAAGACAGAGAGAACUCAAAUCAAUACUGCCACUCUUGAAUUCAGUGGUGUCUUAGCAAACACAAUAUCCUCAAACACUACAGAGGCCAAGUCCAGACAAUACAGCCUACACGCUCCUCUACUCCUCUCACAGCAGUUGUAUUGAGAUCAUCAAUAAACUUUCCAAAUAGAUUCAGGACCCUGAAAUUAAAUUGUUGAAAAUCUUCCAUUUCAAUUAAUCAGUCAGACUUGAAGUCAAAUUGAAGACAGACAAUUAAAGGAAAAGCGCUCAGCUGAGGGCUUUUAAUCAUACUUGGUCAGGAAUUAUUAAAAAUGUUGUAGUGUUAUUAGUCCUCAUUUCUUACAGCCAGGUAUUAAUAAGAUGAAUCAUAAUAAACACCUAACACCUAUUUAAACAGGUAAUGCUUUUCAUUAUGAAAAGAAUAACAAAUCCCUUAAAGUGACACUGCAGUUAUCAGGGGCACCCAUGCUAAUUUAUACAGAGUACUUCACAGAACAUUUUAGCAGCCUGGGGCCAUAAUGACAUAGAUAGUUUCAUAUUCUCAAGGGGUUUUCUGAGAAAUUUGGUAGAUUUAAGAAUGGAUCAAACUUUGGAAUCAAAUUUGACCAAUAACAGUCCUUGUUGUGGUAUAUCUGCCUCCUCGAUUCUUGUCAUCAAGGAGCUCAACAGUGGAAAAUCCAGCCUCAGAACAGGGUAUAUUUCACCAUCAUACCCAACAAUAACACCUGGAAACGAAACAAACACAGCCCAAGGUGCACCCAGGUAUGUUUGGAAAGUAGUCUUAAUUUUCUUGGUUUAAUAUUCAUUCACAGAAGG